UGCCAGACUCCUACGGGAGGCAGCAGUGAGGAAUAUUGGUCAAUGGGCGGAAGCCUGAACCAGCCAAGUCGCGUGAGGGAAUAAGGCCCUACGGGUCGUAAACCUCUUUUGCCGGGGAGCAAGGGCCGGGACGCGUCCCGGCCCGGAGAGUACCCGGAGAAAAAGCAUCGGCUAACUCCGUGCCAGCAGCCGCGGUAAUACGGAGGAUGCGAGCGUUAUCCGGAUUUAUUGGGUUUAAAGGGUGCGUAGGGGGUUAAUUAAGUCAGCGGUGAAAGUUUGUGGCUCAACCAUAAAAUUGCCGUUGAAACUGGUUGACUUGAGUAUAUUUGAGGUAGGCGGAAUGCGUGGUGUAGCGGUGAAAUGCAUAGAUAUCACGCAGAACUCCGAUUGCGAAGGCAGCUUACUAAACUAUAACUGACACUGAAGCACGAAAGCGUGGGGAUCAAACAGGAUUAGAUACCCGCGUAA
rnacentral:rRNA from 1 species